GGCGGGAGGAGAGUCGGCGGCCGGAGCCGUCACCCCGGGCGGGGACCCAGCGCAGGCAACUCCGCGCGGCGGCCCGGCCGAGGGAGGGAGCGAGCGGGCGGGCGGGCAAGCCAGACAGCGGGGCCGGAGCAGCCGCGGGCGCCCGAGGGGCCGAGCAAGAUUGUAAACCAUGGCUGUGUGGAUACAAGCUCAGCAGCUCCAAGGAGAAGCCCUUCAUCAGAUGCAAGCGUUGUAUGGCCAGCAUUUUCCCAUUGAGGUGCGGCAUUAUUUAUCCCAGUGGAUUGAAAGCCAAGCAUGGGACUCAAUAGAUCUUGAUAAUCCACAGGAGAACAUUAAGGCCACCCAGCUCCUGGAGGGCCUGGUGCAGGAGCUGCAGAAGAAGGCAGAGCACCAGGUGGGGGAAGAUGGGUUUUUACUGAAGAUCAAGCUGGGGCACUACGCCACGCAGCUCCAGAACACGUAUGACCGCUGCCCCAUGGAGCUGGUCCGCUGCAUCCGCCAUAUAUUGUACAAUGAACAGAGGUUGGUCCGAGAAGCUAACAAUGGUAGCUCUCCAGCUGGAAGCCUUGCUGAUGCCAUGUCCCAGAAACACCUCCAGAUCAACCAGACAUUUGAGGAGCUGCGACUGGUCACGCAGGACACAGAGAAUGAGUUAAAAAAGCUGCAGCAGACUCAGGAGUACUUCAUCAUCCAGUACCAGGAAAGCCUAAGGAUCCAAGCUCAGUUUGGCCCGCUGGCCCAGCUGAGCCCCCAGGAGCGUCUGAGCCGGGAGACGGCCCUCCAGCAGAAGCAGGUGUCUCUGGAGGCCUGGUUGCAGCGUGAGGCACAGACGCUGCAGCAGUACCGCGUGGAGCUGGCCGAGAAGCACCAGAAGACCCUGCAGCUGCUGCGGAAGCAGCAGACCAUCAUCCUGGAUGACGAGCUGAUCCAGUGGAAGCGGCGGCAGCAACUGGCCGGGAACGGCGGGCCCCCCGAAGGCAGCCUGGACGUGCUACAGUCCUGGUGUGAGAAGUUGGCCGAGAUCAUCUGGCAGAACCGGCAGCAGAUCCGCAGGGCCGAGCACCUCUGCCAGCAGCUGCCCAUCCCCGGCCCAGUGGAGGAGAUGCUGGCCGAGGUCAACGCCACCAUCACGGACAUCAUCUCAGCCCUGGUGACCAGCACAUUCAUCAUUGAGAAGCAGCCUCCUCAGGUCCUGAAGACCCAGACCAAGUUUGCAGCCACUGUGCGCCUGCUGGUGGGCGGGAAGCUGAACGUGCACAUGAACCCCCCCCAGGUGAAGGCCACCAUCAUCAGUGAGCAGCAGGCCAAGUCUCUGCUCAAGAACGAGAACACCCGCAAGUAAUUGUGCAGCUUCUUCUCGUUCCCUGCUACUUGUCUCAUGUCCUGGCAACAGGAAAAAAAGAAUUCUGCCUCCUGUGUCAGAUCCCUGUUUGCCCUUCUGGCCUCUUCUGGGCAUCAGCAAAGGAAUAUAAGGAAGUUCUUGGGCCUGGCGCGGUGGCUCACACCUGUAAUCCCAGCACUUUAGGAGGCCGAGGUGGGCAGAUCACCUGAGGUCAGGAGUUCAAGACCAGCCUGGCCAACAUGGUGAAACCCCGUCUCUACUAAAAAUACAAAAAAAAUUAGCCGGGCGUGAUGGCAGGCACCUGUAAUCCCAGCUACUCGAGAGCCUGAGGCAGGAGAAUCCCUUGAACCCGGGAGGCAGAGAUUGCAGUGAGCCGAGAUCACGCCACUGCACUCCAGCCUGAGCAACAAGAGCAAAACUCCGUCACAAAAAAAAAAAAAAAAA
rnacentral:sRNA from 1 species